rnacentral:rRNA from 1 species
UACGUAGGGUGCAAGCGUUUGUCCGGAAUUAUUGGGCGUAAAGAGCUCGUAGGCGGUCUGUUGCGUCGGCUGUGAAAACCCGGGGCUCAACCCCGGGCCUGCAGCCGAUACGGGCAGACUAGAGUUCGGCAGGGGAGACUGGAAUUCCUGGUGUAGCGGUGAAAUGCGCAGAUAUCAGGAGGAACACCGGUGGCGAAGGCGGGUCUCUGGGCCGAUACUGACGCUGAGGAGCGAAAGCGUGGGGAGCGAACAGG